rnacentral:misc_RNA from 1 species
UUAAGUUCAGCGGGUAUCCCUACCUGAUCCGAGGUCAACCUGUGAAAGAUUGGGGGUUGCUGGCUAGUGCCGCCCGGGACCCUAUAGCGAGAAAGUUUACUACGCUUAGAGCCCGGCCGUACCGCCACUGAUUUUGAGGCCCGCCAGGAGGCGGUGCCCAAGACCCAGCGAGCUGGAUUGGUUAUAAUGACGCUCGAACA